ensembl:snRNA LOC120101116 U2 spliceosomal RNA
AUCGCUUCUCGGCCUUUUGGCUAAGAUCAAGUGUAAAAUAUAAAUAAAAAGACAAAUAAAUUUUUAGAUAAAUAUGUUCU